rnacentral:rRNA from 1 species
CUACGUGCCAGCAGCCGCGGUAAUACGUAGGGUGCGAGCGUUAAUCGGAAUUACUGGGCGUAAAGCGGGCGCAGACGGUUACUUAAGCAGGAUGUGAAAUCCCCGGGCUCAACCUGGGAACUGCGUUCUGAACUGGGUGACUAGAGUGUGUCAGAGGGAGGUAGAAUUCCACGUGUAGCAGUGAAAUGCGUAGAGAUGUGGAGGAAUACCGAUGGCGAAGGCAGCCUCCUGGGAUAACACUGACGUUCAUGCCCGAAAGCGUGGGUAGCAAACAGGAUUAGAUACCCUGGUAGUCCACGCCCUAAACGAUGUCGAUUAGCUGUUGGGCAGCAUGACUGCUUAGUAGCGAAGCUAACGCGUGAAAUCGACCGCCUGGGGAGUACGGUCGCAAGAUUAAAACUCAAAGGAAUUGACGGGGACCCGCACAAGCGGUGGAUGAUGUGGAUUAAUUCGAUGCAACGCGAAGAACCUUACCKGUCUUGACAU